CCAGAGGGUCGGGCGACCGCGACCUGCGAAAGCAGGGCGAGGAAAGUCCGGGCUCCACGAAACAACGGUGCCGGAUAACGUCCGGCGGGUCUUAGCCUUUCGGGGUGAGGGCCAAGGGACAGUGCAACAGAGAGCAGGUCGCCAAAGGCUAUAUGCCCUAAAGCUUCGGCGAGGCGACAGUGAAAGGGUGCGGUAAGAGCGCACCGCGCCCCCGGCAACGGCGGGCGGCAUGGUAAACCCCACCGGGAGCAAGACCGAAUAGGGAUGGCGUUGCAUAUUUUCGGAUAUGCAGGGGCGGUUUCGGCCCCGACCGUCCGGGUUGGUUGCUAGAGGCCGCAAGUAAUUGCGGCCCCAGAGGAAUGGUCGCCUAUCUGCCUCGCGUCCCUUAUGGGAUACGGUGGCGGUGGACAGAACCCGGCUUACAGACCCUCUGGCAAA
rnacentral:RNase_P_RNA from 1 species